rnacentral:rRNA from 1 species
CCUACGGGUGGCUGCAGUGAGGAAUAUUGGUCAAUGGGCGAGAGCCUGAACCAGCCAAGUCGCGUGAAGGAUGAAGGAUCUAUGGUUUGUAAACUUCUUUUAUAUGGGAAUAAAGUGAGGAACGUGUUCCUUUUUGUAUGUACCAUAUGAAUAAGCAUCGGCUAACUCCGUGCCAGCAGCCGCGGUAAUACGGAGGAUGCGAGCGUUAUCCGGAUUUAUUGGGUUUAAAGGGUGCGUAGGUGGUUAAUUAAGUCAGCGGUGAAAGUUUGGGGCUCAACCAUAAGAUUGCCGUUGAAACUGGCUGACUUGAGUAGAGUAGAGGUAGGCGGAAUGCGUGGUGUAGCGGUGAAAUGCAUAGAUAUCACGAAGAACCCCGAUUGCGAAGGCAGCUUACUAAACUAUAACUGACACUGAGGCACGAAAGCGUGGGUAUCAAACAGGAUUAGAUACCCGUGUAGUC